ACACGUGAUACUUUUAUUCAUUAUUUUCUCCGAUCGUAUUCUGUGUGGUGGGGUGGGAGCACCUACAACCCCCCAAAUGUGAGAAGUUGAUAACAAGUCCUUUUCUAGUCGGGUAGGCAAGGGGACAAACAGAAAUUUCUGCAUUCACUGCGCAUUCCUAUCUACAUAGCUUUUCCUUCCUUCCCUUGUGAAAACCAGAAAAAAACUUCAGAAUUCUUCAUUCCACAGCCCAAAAAAAAAAAAAAAAAAAAAAAAAAAAACCAGGUUCUUAUAAUCUCAAUAACACACUGCAACUGCAGCAUGACACCGAGUUCGAUUUUUCUCUCCAAGAAGUUCAAAACACCGAUCGACACAGUGUCAUUGUUCGAAGCAUAUCAGGGAGCAUUGGGCACGCCUUUACAUCAUAUGGAGAUGUACAGUUUUGCUUCUCUGCUCGCAUAGUCGAUCCUCAAAUAGAGCCCUAGACCUGUUUUAAUACAUAGCAUUGGACAGCACGUACAGACAAUAUUUUGACAUAAACACUAGGCUACACAUAUAUGAAAAGAGGUUUCCUUCAGGUAAUCUGAAAGUUAGACAUUCAUACAGUUAACCUUUGUACAGUUUAGAUUUUUUGAAGUUUUUUAGUAUAACUGUAAAAGCAAAC
rnacentral:lncRNA from 1 species